rnacentral:rRNA from 1 species
UCCUCCCUCUUUCCUCGUGCUUAACACAUGCAAGUCGAACGGAAAGGCCCUGCUUUUGUGGGGUGCUCGAGUGGCGAACGGGUGAGUAACACGUGAGUAACCUGCCCUUGACUUUGGGAUAACUUCAGGAAACUGGGGCUAAUACCGGAUAGGAGCUCCUGCUGCAUGGUGGGGGUUGGAAAGUUUCGGCGGUUGGGGAUGGACUCGCGGCUUAUCAGCUUGUUGGUGGGGUAGUGGCUUACCAAGGCUUUGACGGGUAGCCGGCCUGAGAGGGUGACCGGCCACAUUGGGACUGAGAUACGGCCCAGACUCCUACGGGAGGCAGCAGUGGGGAAUAUUGCACAAUGGGCGGAAGCCUGAUGCAGCAACGCCGCGUGCGGGAUGACGGCCUUCGGGUUGUAAACCGCUUUCGCCUGUGACGAAGCGUGAGUGACGGUAAUGGGUAAAGAAGCACCGGCUAACUACGUG